UGAGGAAUAUUGGACAAUGGGCGAAAGCCUGAUCCAGCAACGCCGCGUGAGUGAAGAAAGCCUUAGGGUUGUAAAGCUCUUUUAGUGGGGAAGAUAAUGACGGUACCCACAGAAAAAGCCCCGGCUAACUUCGUGCCAGCAGCCGCGGUAAUACGAAGGGGGCUAGCGUUACUCGGAAUUAUUGGGCGUAAAGCGUGCGUAGGUGGUUUAGAAAGUUGGGAGUGAAAUCCUUGGGCUUAACCCAAGAACUGCUUCCAAAACUCCUAAACUAGAGUGCCAGAAAAGAUAGCGGAAUUCCUAGUGUAGAGGUGAAAUUCGUAGAUAUUAGGAGGAACACCAGAAGCGAAAGCGGCUAUCUAGCUGGAUACUGACACUGUUGCACGAAAGCGUGGGGAGCAAACAGG
rnacentral:rRNA from 1 species